AUUUUAUUUUUAUAAUUUUUGUGUAUAUUUGGUUUUGUGGAUUUUAUAGUGAUUUUCAAUUUGAUUAUGUUAAAAUUUUAUUUGUUUCUUUUGUUAUUUUGGUUUAUUUAAUUGUUUAUUGGAAUGUUUCCUUUAUUUUUUGUUGGUUUGUAAUUAUUGUGGAAUUAGUAAAUUUGUUUGUUUGUAUUGUUUAUAUUUUUGUAUAAUUUCUUUUGAGGAAUUAGGCAAAUUUUGUGUCCGCCUGUUUAACAAAAACAUCUUUUCUUGUUAGUUUUUGAAGUAUGGCCUGCCCGCUGACAUUGAGUGUUGAAGGGCCGCGGUAUUUUGACCGUGCAAAGGUAGCAUAAUCAUUAGUUCUUUAAUUGUGAUCUGGAAUGAAUGGCUUGACGAGGCACGGGCUGUCUUAGUGUUGAAUGUUUUAUUGAAUUUGGUCUUUGAGUUAAAAUUCUUAAAUGUUUUUGUGGGACGAGAAGACCCUAUAGAGUUUGACAUUUGGUUUAUUUGUUGUUUGGUUGUUUGUUUGUUUUAUUGGUGAGUGGACUUUUUGUUUUGUUGGGGUGAUGAGAGGAAUAUGUUUAACUCCUCUUGGUUUUGGUUAUAUUGAUUUAUAGUUGUUUGAUCCAUUUAUUUUGAUUAUAAGACUAAAUUAC
rnacentral:rRNA from 1 species